rnacentral:rRNA from 1 species
UACGUAGGUGGCAAGCGUUGUCCGGAUUUACUGGGCGUAAAGAGCGCGCAGGCGGUCGGAUCAGUCGAAUGUGAAAGCCCCCGGCUCAACUGGGGAGGGUCAUUCGAUACUGUCCGACUCGAAGGCAGGAGAGGGAAGCGGAAUUCCUGGUGUAGCGGUGGAAUGCGUAGAUAUCAGGAAGAACACCGGUGGCGAAGGCGGCUCGCUGGGCCAGUUCUGACACUCAUCCGCGAAAGCGUGGGGAGCAAACAGG